rnacentral:rRNA from 1 species
CUCAGAUUGAACGCUGGCGGCGUGCUUAACACAUGCAAGUCGAACGCGAAAGGGGACUUCGGGUCCUGAGUAAAGUGGCGCACGGGUGAGUAACGCGUGGAUAAUCUGCCCUUAUGAUUGGAAUAACAGUUGGAAACGGCUGCUAAUACCGGAUACGCUCAAAAUGAACUUUUUGAGGAAAGAUGGCCUCUGCUUGCAUGCUAUCGCAUAAGGAUGAGUCCGCGUCCCAUUACCUUGUUGGCGGGGUAACGGCCCACCAAGGCAACGAUGGGUAGCCGAUUUGAGAGGAUGAUCGGCCACACUGGAACUGAAACACGGUCCAGACUCCUACGGGAGGCAGCAGUGGGGAAUAUUGCGCAAUGGGCGAAAGCCUGACGCAGCGACGCCGCGUGAGGGAUGAAGGUUUUCGGAUCGUAAACCUCUGUCAGAAGGGAAGAAACUACGUUGUGCUAAUCAGCAGCGUACUGACGGUACCUUCAAAGGAAGCACCGGCUAACUCCGUG